GAUGAACGCUAGCGGUCUGCUUAACACAUGCAAGUCGAACGGGCUCUUCGGAGCUAGUGGCGGACGGGUGAGUAACGCGUGAGGAUCUGCCCUUAGGACGGGGACAACAGUUGGAAACGACUGCUAAUACCCGAUGUACCGAGAGGUGAAACUAUUUGGCCUGAGGAUGAGCUCGCGUCUGAUUAGCUAGUUGGAGUGGUAACGGCACACCAAGGCGACGAUCAGUAGCUGGUCUGAGAGGAUGAUCAGCCACACUGGGACUGAGACACGGCCCAGACUCCUACGGGAGGCAGCAGUGGGGAAUUUUCCGCAAUGGGCGAAAGCCUGACGGAGCAAGACCGCGUGCGGGAGGAAGGUCUAUUGACUGUAAACCGCUUUUGAUAGGGAAGAAGAUCUGACGGUACCUAUCGAAUCAGCAUCGGCUAACUCCGUGCCAGCAGCCGCGGUAAUACGGGGGAUGCAAGCGUUAUCCGGAAUUAUUGGGCGUAAAGCGUCCGUAGGUGGUUUUAUAAGUCUGUUGUCAAAUCGCGAGGCUUAACCUCGUACAGGCAGUGGAAACUAUAAGACUAGAGUGCGGUAGGGGUAGAGGGAAUUUCCAGUGUAGCGGUGAAAUGCGUAGAUAUUGGAAGACACCGGUGGCGAAAGCGCUCUACUGGGCUGCACUGACACUGAGGGACGAAAGCUAGGGGAGCGAAAGGGAUUAGAUACCCCUGUAGUCCUAGCCGUAAACGAUGGAUACUAGGCGUUGCCCG
rnacentral:rRNA from 1 species